UGCUGUUAUGUCUGUCAUCCAACUGUCAUAUUGUUUGUUUGCAGCGGUUUGAACGUGUACUUGUUUGCAAGAAAGUACGCAAAGCAAAUUAAAAAGGUAACCCAGAGAGGACCGUUAAACCAUAAAUUAGUAAAUGUUCGUGUCCGUUUCUCAAAUUCAUAGGUUUUAUAUGCUUGGCCUAAAUCGAUGUCGUUCUUUCUGUCCGUGUCCAUCAAAGGAAAUAGAAGUGCGCGACGUGAUCCUAAAGUUAAAGUUAAAACUUAAAAGUUACGAUAGUAGUAGAUCUUAAAAACUAUUAUCACAGUUCGAAGUAGUACGAAUAUAAUAAGCCACAAGAAGAGUGAAGAAGCAUUGUUUAAACCCAAUUAGCCUCACAAAAAGGUCCGUCCAACGGGCCUUUUUGUGUUUUUUGCGAGUGCUUGCCUGGCAAGCCGAUCUUCCCCAGAACCCCCGGAACAACGUCAUAAAGGCUGAAGGAUUGGAAUCCGUCAACACAUUCCGAUCGGGAAUAUCCCCAAAACGGACAGAAACCCUAUCCAGCCCCAACGUUCCACCAAGGUUCAUCGAGGAGACCGACCGGUUUAUGUUACGGCGUAAAUUCGGUCUAGUCCAUCCGAACCCAGCUACGAACCGCCAUUGCUUGACGCCAACGAAACCGAGCAUCCCAGACCGGUUCAUGUUCCGGCGUGAAUUCGGUCACCCCUCAACCGCCCUUGGAAUCCGCCACCGAAGCCCGCACACCACCAGUUCCCGUACCACCUCUACCAACCAACAAGCGCACAAUCCCGAAAAAUUGUA